UCUUAGUCCACUUUUGACUACUCAACUGCUUCCUGUAACACAUAGUGUCAAAAUGACCAAAAACUCCAUCAGUAUUUCAUUUUACUAAUUACCGCAGGUGAUCCAUUCUGCUUGUGCCAAUGCAUCUCACAACCACGGAUUGGAUCCUGAUAAGCUCAUUGUUGAGGAGGCCUUUGUGGGAAAGGGACUUUACCUGAAGAGGCUAUCUUACCAUGCCAAGGGGAGGUGCGGUGUCAUGGUGCGACCAAGGUGCAGAUUGACAGUGGUGGUUAGAGAAGCUACAGCUGAGGAAGAGGCAAAGAUUGCCAAACUCAGGGUGAGCAACUACAAGAAGCUAACCAGAAAGGAGCGGCAGCUUAUGCCGCAUCGGCUCAUCGAGAUUAGCCCUAGGUGGGCUCGCAAGAGGAAAGAAGAAGCUGGUGCUACGGCGUAGCGCUAGUUUCUGUAUGUGGUGUCUCAGUGUCUGCCUCCAUUCACCCUAUUGUGCUUGGACACACUAGAAUUUGCCGAAGAAAGAUGACGACCCAUACAUGAGAUAAUUCAGAGUCUGGUUUGCUGAUCCAGCCUUGUUCUAUUUGUUUGUUUCAUCGACAUGAAAACUGUCGAGACAUUACCAUGUUACUUUGACUGUAGGACAGUGUUUACCAGCGCUGCUCUAAUACAAUGAAUAAUUUACAUGUGAUAUGUGAA